GACCCGCUGUGUCCUCACUGGAAACCCUGGCUUCCCGCGAUUGCACUCGGAGGCCCACGUCAUUUACAGCAUUUCAAUCUCUGAUUCCCACUCCAGUCCUUCGAAAGUGUCGCCAGGGCAGACGACUUGAUGUUUUGUAUUUGGGCCUCCGGUGAAGAGCUGACUCCCCCCCACAACUGGAAACGCAUCGUCUGAAAGAUCCCCCUGAAAUUUCUUGAUGUUUAACUGUUAACAUUUUGUUGUUGUUGUCCACAGAAGGAUAACAACAUCCUUUCAAGAUCCUCCAAUAGCCUAAUGCCAAUCUCGUCUCUGCCUCAAAAGGAAAACACUAGAAAUGUUGGGAACUGCCGCCACUCUCUAUAUUUGCCUUUUCCUUUCUAGGAAUUGUAUAUAGAUUUUUAGCUUACUUUUGUUGUAUAUUGUUUUUACAUGGUUAUUCCAAUCACCUAAUAAACACUGAUCAAUAAGGAAUUUAAAUAAAAUCUUCACAAAAUUACAGCCAAAAAAAA